rnacentral:rRNA from 1 species
UACGUAGGGUCCGAGCGUUGUCCGGAAUUAUUGGGCGUAAAGGGCUCGUAGGCGGUUUGUUGCGUCGGGAGUGAAAACUUCGAGCUUAACUCGGAGCUUGCUUUCGAUACGGGCAGACUUGAGGCAUUCAGGGGAGAACGGAAUUUCUGGUGUAGCGGUGAAAUGCGCAGAUAUCAGAAGGAACACCGGUGGCGAAGGCGGUUCUCUGGGAAUGUUCUGACGCUGAGGAGCGAAAGCGUGGGGAGCGAACAGG